CGGACGGGUAGCUCAGAAGGAAGAGCGUACAAGUCAACCUUGUAAGGUCCCUGGUUCGAGUCCAGGUCCGUUAA
rnacentral:tRNA from 1 species